rnacentral:rRNA from 1 species
ACCUAAAUGGCAUUGCUCACAAAGAAAAGGAUUUACACACCGAAGCGCUUCUUCAUCCACGCGGCGUCGCACUAUCAGACUUUCGUCCAUUGUAGACUAUUCUCGA